AGUCUUAUAUUCAACAAUGAUUUUAAAUUGCAAAUUUAAAGGUGGGGCAGCCCUAAGGCUU
rnacentral:tRNA from 1 species